AAUGGGUAUUCCUAAAAAUCCCAUAGCAAACUGCUCAGUAACACAUGAUCAACUUGCCCUAUGGGAGGACAAUAACCUCGGGAAACUGGAGGAUAAUAGUCCAUAGUUGAUUAGGCUUGGAAAAGUUUUUCAAUGAAUGGAAUAAGAAAAAUGGUUCUUAUUUGCCAUAGGACAGGAUCGUGCUCGAUUAUGGUUGUUGGUGAGGUAAAGGCUCACCAAGCCGAUAAUCGAUAGGGGCCGUGAGAGCGGUUGCCCCGAGAUGGGUACUGAGAUAACGACCCAGGCCUUACGAGGCGCAGCAGGCGCGAAACCUCAUCACUACACGAAAGUGUGAAUGGGUUACCCAAAGUGUCCUUAUUGGACUGUGGUAGGUGAGUAAUGUUCCCUACUAAAAAGGAGAGGGCAAGGCUGGUGCCAGCCGCCGCGGUAAAACCAGCCCUUCAAGUGGUCGGGAUAAUUAUUGGGCUUAAAGUGUCCGUAGCCGGUAUGGUAAGUUCCUGGUAAAAUCGGGUAGCUUAACUAUCUGUGUGCUAGGUAUACUGCUAUACUAGAGGGCGGGAGAGGUCUGAGGUACUACGGGGGUAGGGGUGAAAUCUUAUAAUCCUCGUAGGACCACCAGUGGCGAAGGCGUCAGACUGGAACGCGCCUGACGGUGAGGGACGAAAGCCAGGGGAGCGAACCGGAU
rnacentral:rRNA from 1 species